UGGGGAAUUUUGGACAAUGGGCGAAAGCCUGAUCCAGCAAUGCCGCGUGUGUGAAGAAGGCCUUCGGGUUGUAAAGCACUUUUGUCCGGAAAGAAAUCCUUGGCUCUAAUACAGUCGGGGGAUGACGGUACCGGAAGAAUAAGCACCGGCUAACUACGUGCCAGCAGCCGCGGUAAUACGUAGGGUGCAAGCGUUAAUCGGAAUUACUGGGCGUAAAGCGUGCGCAGGCGGUUUGCUAAGACCGAUGUGAAAUCCCCGGGCUCAACCUGGGAACUGCAUUGGUGACUGGCAGGCUAGAGUAUGGCAGAGGGGGGUAGAAUUCCACGUGUAGCAGUGAAAUGCGUAGAGAUGUGGAGGAAUACCGAUGGCGAAGGCAGCCCCCUGGGCCAAUACUGACGCUCAUGCACGAAAGCGUGGGGGAGCAAAACAGGAUUAGAUACCCUGGUAGUCCACGCCCUAAACGAUGUCAACUAGUUGUUGGGGGAUUCAUUUCCUUAGUAACGUAGCUAACGCGUGAAGUUGACCGCCUGGGGAGUACGGUCGCAAGAUUAAAACUCAAAGGAAUUGACGGGGUCAUAGCUGUUUCCU
rnacentral:rRNA from 1 species